AUUGAACGCUGGCGGCAGGCCUAACACAUGCAAGUCGAGCGAGCGGCGGACUGGUGAGUAAUGUAUGGGGACUGCCCGAUAGAGGGGGAUAACUACUGGAAACGGUGGCUAAUACCGCAUACUAUCGGAUAACCCAUAUGGGAUUAGCUAGUAGGGGGGGUAAAGGCUCACCUAGGCGACGAUCUCUAGCUGGUCUGAGAGGGUGAUCAGCCACACUGGGACUGAGACACGGCCCAGACUCCUACGGAGGCAGCAGUGGGGAAUAUUGCGCAAUGGGCGCAAGCCUGAGGCAGCCACGCCGCGUGUAUGAAGAAGGUUUUAGGGUUGUAAAGGACUUUUAGCGGGGAGGCGGUAUCCGCAGAAGAAGCACCGGCUAACUCCGUGCCAGCAGCCGCGGUAAUAC
rnacentral:rRNA from 1 species